rnacentral:rRNA from 1 species
AUAAUUAAGCGGAGGAAAAGAAACCAAAAGGGAUUCCCUUAGUAACGGCGAGCGAAACGGGAAAUGUCCAGCGCCAAGUCUUGACAUCAAAUGGUGUUCAAGAGAUGCGGCGUUAAUGUAUUGGUGCAUCAUACAUUGGUCCAUGUUUCAAGUUCCUUUGACAGGGACAUCCAGAGUGGGUGCUAGGCCCAUAGAGACAAGGAUCUGAUGUAUGCCAGCCAAUGCAUUCUAGAGUCAGGUUGCUUGAGAGUGCAGCUUAAAGUGGGUGGUAAACUCCAUCUAAGACUAAAUAUUACAGCGAGACCGAUAGCAAACAAGUACCGUGAGGGAAAGUUGAAAAGCACUUUGAAGAGAGAGUUCAACAGUACGUGAAACCACUGACAGGCAAACAGAUGGAACCACGAAGUUAGCGUCUUGGUCGAUUCAAUCAUCACCACUUGGUAUGGAUGUUGAUGUGUGAGGACCUUUUCGGAGGUUGCAUCAAUGUUCUUCAAUCUGGUGUGUGAUGGUGCAUUUCGUGCCGAGGAUGCAAAGCCACGUUCGAUUAGAGAGUUGGGACGGCUGUAGGAUAGAACCAGAGAAAGGUGCCCGACAGAUGCUUGCCAUUUGUCGGCGUUAUAGACUCCGGUUGGCACCGUCGCCAAACAUACUGAUCGAUAUAAAUUCUCCAUUAUGGAGUAUGGAACCAUGUCUGCCUAUGGCUGGUAGUAGGCGUCCAGAGGUGUCCUUUACGUAUCUUUGGAUGCGAAAAGCCAUCUUGAAGAUGCAUGCUAGUGGUUGUUUGCGUGACAUGGUGGAACUGUGGCGCGAGUAGGUCGGUGUCCAUCUGACCCGUCUUGAAACACGGACCAAGGAGCCUAUCAUAUACGCGAGUCGCUCGGUCUUGUUCAGGCCCGAGAGGCGUAAUGAAAGUAAAGCUAUGAGAUUUCGAUCGCAAUAGCGGCCCGCCUACUUCGUUUAUUGGCGAUCAGGCGGAGCUGGAGCGUAUACGAUGGUACCCGAAAGAUGGUGAACUAUGCCUGGGCAAGACGAAGCCAGAGGAAACUCUGGUGGAGGUCUGUAGCGAUUCUGACGUGCAAAUCGAUCGUCAGACCUGGGUAUAGGGGCGAAAGACUAAUCGAACCAUCUAGUAGCUGGUUCCCUCCGAAGUUUCCCUCAGGAUAGCAGGCGUUUUUGGGACCAGUCUCAUCCGGUAAAGCUAAUGAUUAGAGGUCUUGGGGCUGAAACGGCCUCAACCUAUUCUCAAACUUUAAAUGGGUGAGAUGGUUGACUUUCUUGAUUGAAGCCAACCAUUUGGAUGUAAGUGCCUAGUGGGCCAUUUUUGGUAAGCAGAACUGGCGCUGUGGGAUGAACCAAACGUCGAGAUAAGGUAUCAGAUGCACACGCUCAUCAGACCCCAUGAAAGGUGUUGGUUGCUAUAGACAGCAGGACGGUGGCCAUGGAAGUCGGAAUCCGCUAAGGAGUGUGUAACAACUCACCUGCCGAAGCAACUAGCCCUGAAAAUGGACGAUGCUGUAGCGUGGAACCGAUACUCGACCGUAAUGAUGAACAUGUGAAGAUAAGAUAUCAUUACGAGUAGGAGGGCCGCAGUGAUGGCGUUGAAGGUGUCAGACGUAAGUCUGCCUCGAGCCGUCAUUGUUGCAGAUCUUGGUGGUAGUAGCAAAUACUCAAGUGAGAAUCUUGAGGACUAACGUGGAGAAGGGUUCCAUGUGAACAGCAGUUGGACAUGGUUCAGUCGGUCCUAAGGAGGCGGAGAAAUCCGUUAAAACGGUUCAAUAAAUUAAUUCUGUGAUUGAUAUUGCGAACCGAUUCUCCGAAAGGGAAUCGGGUCAAUAUUCCCGAACUGAGACAUGGAGGAUGUGCUCUCGGGCACUAAUGCGGUAACGCGAUCAAAUUCGGAGACAUCGGCGGCAGUCCUGGGAAGAGUUGUCUUUUCUCUAUAAGGUGCCGAAUCCAUGAAAACAGCUUGUCUGGAGAUAUGGAUGUUGGCACCGAAGAGCUCAGCGGUUCUUGCCGAGUCCGGUGCGCUGUUGUCGGUCCUUGAAAAUCCGAAGGCGAGGUUUACCUCCGUGCUCAGCCGUACCAAUAUCCGCAGCAGGUCUCCAAGGUUAACAGCCUCUAGUUUCUAGAAUAAUGUAGGUAAGGGAAGUCGGCAAAACUGAUCCGUAACUUCGGGAUAAGGAUUGGCUCUGAAGGAUGGGCCGUUCGGGCUGUGAUCAGAAACAGGUGAUGCGUCUGGCUGGGACUGGACACUGGCAACGGUGAUCGGACCCGUGCUGGCGUCUGCCUGCGGACGGUCAUGGCUACGCCUUGGUGCCCCGUGCAUCGAGUGUCGUUUCGGGCGGCAUUCAACAUCCGACUCAGAACUGGCACGGACCCGGGGAAUCCGACUGUCUAAUUAAAACAAAGCAUUGCGAUGGCCGGAAAUCGGUGAUGACGCAAUGUGAUUUCUGCCCAGUGGUAUGAAUGUCAAUGUGAAGAAAUUCACUUAAGCGCUACU